UACGUAGGUGGCAAGCGUUGUCCGGAUUUACUGGGCGUAAAGGGCGUGCAGGCGGUCUGUUAAGUUCAGGGUGAAAGCUCCCGGCUCAACUGGGAGAGGUCCUUGGAUACUGGCAGACUAGAGGUAGGUAGGGGAGAAUGGGAUUCCCGGUGUAGCGGUGAAAUGCGCAGAUAUCGGGAGGAACACCGGUGGCGAAGGCGGUUCUCUGGGCCUUACCUGACGCUGAGGAGCGAAAGCGUGGGGAGCGAACAGG
rnacentral:rRNA from 1 species